rnacentral:rRNA from 1 species
UCAUCGGCCUCAGAUGGUAGGACUACCCGCUGAACUA